rnacentral:rRNA from 1 species
GACGAACGCUGGCGGCGUGCUUAACACAUGCAAGUCGAACGGAAAGGCCCUGCUUUUGUGGGGUGCUCGAGUGGCGAACGGGUGAGUAACACGUGAGUAACCUGCCCUUGACUUUGGGAUAACUUCAGGAAACUGGGGCUAAUACCGGAUAGGAGCUCCUGCUGCAUGGUGGGGGUUGGAAAGUUUCGGCGGUUGGGGAUGGACUCGCGGCUUAUCAGCUUGUUGGUGGGGUAGUGGCUUACCAAGGCUUUGACGGGUAGCCGGCCUGAGAGGGUGACCGGCCACAUUGGGACUGAGAUACGGCCCAGACUCCUACGGGAGGCAGCAGUGGGGAAUAUUGCACAAUGGGCGGAAGCCUGAUGCAGCAACGCCGCGUGCGGGAUGACGGCCUUCGGGUUGUAAACCGCUUUCGCCUGUGACGAAGCGUGAGUGACGCUAAUGGGUAAAGAAGCACCGGCUAACUACGUG